rnacentral:rRNA from 1 species
CUCCUACGGGAGGCAGCAGUGAGGAAUAUUGGUCAAUGGACGCGAGUCUGAACCAGCCAAGUAGCGUGAAGGAUGACUGCCCUAUGGGUUGUAAACUUCUUUUAUAUGGGAAUAAAGUGGUCCACGUGUGGACUUUUGUAUGUACCAUAUGAAUAAGGAUCGGCUAACUCCGUGCCAGCAGCCGCGGUAAUACGGAGGAUCCGAGCGUUAUCCGGAUUUAUUGGGUUUAAAGGGAGCGUAGGCGGAUUGUUAAGUCAGUUGUGAAAGUUUGCGGCUCAACCGUAAAAUUGCAGUUGAUACUGGCAGUCUUGAGUGCAGUAGAGGUGGGCGGAAUUCGUGGUGUAGCGGUGAAAUGCUUAGAUAUCACGAAGAACUCCGAUUGCGAAGGCAGCUCACUGGAGUGUAACUGACGCUGAUGCUCGAAAGUGUGGGUAUCAAACAGGAUUAGAUACCCUGGUAGUCCACACAGUAAACGAUGAAUACUCGCUGUUUGCGAUAUACAGUAAGCGGCCAAGCGAAAGCAUUAAGUAUUCCACCUGGGGAGUACGCCGGCAACGGUGAAACUCAAAGGAAUUGACGGGGGCCCGCACAAGCGGAGGAACAUGUGGUUUAAUUCGAUGAUACGCGAGGAACCUUACCCGGGCUUAAAUUGCAAAUGAAUUAUGGGGAAACCCAUACGCCGCAAGGCAUUUGUGAAGGUGCUGCAUGGUUGUCGUCAGCUCGUGCCGUGAGGUGUCGGCUUAAGUGCCAUAACGAGCGCAACCCUUAUCUUCAGUUACUAACAGGUCAUGCUGAGGACUCUGGAGAAACUGCCGUCGUAAGAUGUGAGGAAGGUGGGGAUGACGUCAAAUCAGCACGGCCCUUACGUCCGGGGCUACACACGUGUUACAAUGGGGGGUACAGAAGGCCGCUACCUGGUGACAGGAUGCCAAUCCCAAAAACCUCUCUCAGUUCGGAUCGAAGUCUGCAACCCGACUUCGUGAAGCUGGAUUCGCUAGUAAUCGCGCAUCAGCCAUGGCGCGGUGAAUACGUUCCCGGGCCUUGUACACACCGC